rnacentral:rRNA from 1 species
GUUAAGCGACUAAGCGUACACGGUGGAUGCCCUGGCAGUCAGAGGCGAUGAAGGGCGUGCUAAUCUGCGAUAAGCGCCGGUAAGGUGAUAUGAACCGUUAUAACCGGCGAUACCCGAAUGGGGAAACCCAGUGUGAUUCGUCACACUAUCAUUAACUGAAUCCAUAGGUUAAUGAGGCGAACCGGGGGAACUGAAACAUCUAAGUACCCCGAGGAAAAGAAAUCAACCGAGAUUCCCCCAGUAGCGGCGAGCGAACGGGGAGGAGCCCAGAGCCUGAAUCAGCAUGUGUGUUAGUGGAAGCGUCUGGAAAGGCGCGCGAUACAGGGUGACAGCCCCGUACACAAAAGCGCAUGUGCUGUGAGCUCGAUGAGUAGGGCGGGACACGUGGUAUCCUGUCUGAAUAUGGGGGGACCAUCCUCCAAGGCUAAAUACUCCUGACUGACCGAUAGUGAACCAGUACCGUGAGGGAAAGGCGAAAAGAACCCCGGCGAGGGGAGUGAAAAAGAACCUGAAACCGUGUACGUACAAGCAGUGGGAGCACCCUUCGGGGUGUGACUGCGUACCUUUUGUAUAAUGGGUCAGCGACUUAUAUUCUGUAGCAAGGUUAACCGUAUAGGGGAGC